CGCUGGCGGCGUGCCUAACACAUGCAAGUCGAGCGAGGAGAGUUCCUCGGGAUGAUCCUAGCGGCGGACGGGUGAGUAACACGUGGGCAACCUGCCUCAUAGAGAGGAAUAGCCUUCCGAAAGGGAGAUUAAUACCUCAUAACAUUGCAGUUUCGCAUGGAACAGCAAUUAAAGGAGCAAUCCGCUAUGAGAUGGGCCCGCGGCGCAUUAGCUAGUUGGUGAGGUAACGGCUCACCAAGGCGACGAUGCGUAGCCGACCUGAGAGGGUGAUCGGCCACAUUGGGACUGAGACACGGCCCAGACUCCUACGGGAGGCAGCAGUGGGGAAUAUUGCACAAUGGGGGAAACCCUGAUGCAGCCAACGCCGCGUGAGUGAUGACGGCCUUCGGGUUGUAAAGCUCUGUCUUCAGGGACGAUAAUGACGGUACCUGAGGAGGAAGCCACGGCUAACUACGUGCCAGCAGCAGC
rnacentral:rRNA from 1 species